CAUGUAAUAUCUAAUAAUAUAUGUUAUCACCUUUGUUUUUAUUACUAUUAUUCUACUUCCUAUGGCUAUUCCUAUGGCAACUGGAUGGGAGUAAGAAAUAUCAGAAGGGACAAGAUGGGAAAGCUUCAUAAAAUAAUGGAAAAAGCAUGGCAAAAAUUGAGAGAGAGGAUGAGAACUCAAAAGGACAGAGAGAGAAAGACGGAACUCUCUUGAGAGACUGCCUCUGGGGUGAUCACUCAGAUUUUCUAAGGUCCCUGCUGCCCUACUCUAUGACAGAAUUCCAUCAGCUUGAAGACAGCUGGCAGGAAGCACUGCCCAUCCCUGUCCUUAUCUAAGGAUAGAGAUGACUGUCCAGCCUGCCUCCACACCUGCCCGUCCCUUGGCUCUCUUUUAAGAUACUCCUUUCUCAAUCACUUGGCAUCAUCAGUUGCAAAUUCAA
rnacentral:lncRNA from 10 species